UUGGGAAACUAACCAAGGAGAGA
rnacentral:piRNA from 1 species